rnacentral:lncRNA from 1 species
UGUCCCAGGGCUGGAAUCCCUCUUGGCCCAAUGCUCAGGGAAAUGAAGCAGCUCAAUAGAAACGUUUGAUAUGAGUUUGUACAGAUGUUUACACUCUGGUGAGGGGGGCCGAGUACGGAAGCCCUACUGAUCAGCCCACAGCUUUGGGUUUGGAUACUUGGUUUAA